UCCAACGAGGAUAAUGAGAGGGCUGAAAAAAUGACACUUGUUCUCCCAUCAGCAUUGUCUUCUCCAAGUUUAUCUACUUAGAUUCAAGCCCCACAAAGCAUUUUGCAGGACUGCUCAGAAAUACCUAUGCUGAAGUAGGGACUUUUCCUUUCCCCUGAAUACAGCCAAAUGUUCCUGCAGUGGAAAACAGGUUAUGGACUCUGUAAUGUGUUGUGUUCUUGUACAACUGUUUUGUACAUUAGUUUCCAAUAUAUCUUUUACAGGCAAAACUCUGACUCCUCAAGUUAUGUUUCAUAACGUGGCCUCUAACAUCAUGUGCCAGGUUGUCUUUGGUACACACUAUGAGUAUGACGAUGAGUUCAUCACAACGAUUGUUCAGAGUACCACUGAGAUUACCAAGAUCUGCAAUGGACCAUGGGCGAUGCUGUACAGCUCUCUUCCCUUUAUUCGUAAGCUGCCACUGCCAUUCAACAAGGCCUUUAAGGCAGUUAAGCGUUCUUCUGACCUUGUACUUCAUUUGUUGAAUGAGCACAAGAAGACCAGAGUCCCUGGAGAGCCUCGAGACUUCAUUGACAGUUACCUGGAUGAACUGGAUAAGAGACACCAAUUCACCUUUGAAAGUUAACCGGCCCUUAAGAUCACCCUUGUCUUUCCUUACUGUGUAACUAUCCAGUACUUCCACUGCAACAACCCAGCACUUUACCUGCAACUACUGGUCAACAACUGGGAACCGGGCUGUAUUAUAAAGUGAACACUUGUUGGCUU